AUUUUAAAAAAAUAAAAUCUGAAGGCAACUUUUUCAAACUUUCACUGCCACUUUAGCUUUUUUCCUUGAAAGGUUUGGCUUUUGCCAUUUUAAAGUUCAGUAUACUCUCUUCUAUAUUAUUAAUUCGAUCAACUUUUCAUAUCAUAAAGUAAAUAUUUUGGAUUGCUAGAUAUGCGUAUAUAAAUUUGGGUUCUAGUGGGAUAUUAUUCGGAGGCUUUACAAAAAGAUAUUAUAGCUUUGGCGUCCAGAUCCGGGCAUUAGCAGUCGACGUUGACGUGUCCUGCCUUUCAGUACUAGAGCAGGGUGAGCUUGCUGUCGUCUAAGGCUGAUCCUUCUCUAUCUACUCCAGAGUACAAGGUACUGAUAUUAGUAGAACGGAAUUAGAACAACGCAAAUUAGAAUGAGUGUGCUAUAAAUUGAGAUGGAGAAUAUUACACUGGGACAAGCAGUACAGUAAGAUGUGAAUUUACAAGGCAUUAUCCCAAGGCUGGGAAUUGUUCAAGUCCUACGUCCCAAAGUUUCUCUUUAAUAAUCCAAAUGGUGGACAUGACAUAAGUUCCUUUCUUUUCUUAAUAUUGGCUGCUUCCUAUUGUUAUAAAUGACAAUUAGAGUUCCUGAGACAGUAACUUGUAGACAAAAGUUGGUUGGAUCAAUUACAGUGCAGUUCUCCUUAUAUUAUCAUGGUAUACAAAAUGGUUCUGCCCAUUUGCUUCU